ACGGGAGGCAGCAGUGGGGAAUAUUGGGCAAUGGGCGAAAGCCUGACCCAGCAACGCCGCGUGAAGGAAGAAGGUCUUCGGAUUGUAAACUUCUUUUAUGAGGGACGAAGGAAGUGACGGUACCUCAUGAAUAAGCCACGGCUAACUACGUGCCAGCAGCCGCGGUAAUACGUAGGUGGCAAGCGUUAUCCGGAUUUACUGGGUGUAAAGGGCGCGUAGGCGGGGAUGCAAGUCAGAUGUGAAAUCUAUGGGCUCAACCCAUAAACUGCAUUUGAAACUGUGUCUCUUGAGUGCUGGAGAGGUAGAUGGAAUUCCUUGUGUAGCGGUGAAAUGCGUAGAUAUAAGGAAGAACACCAGUGGCGAAGGCGAUCUACUGGACAGUAACUGACGCUGAGGCGCGAAAGCGCGGGGAUCGAACAGGAUUAGAUACCCUGGUA
rnacentral:rRNA from 1 species